rnacentral:rRNA from 1 species
UGAUUAGGCAUGCAAGUCGAACGAGAAAGUUCCCUUCGGGGAAUGAGUACAGUGGCGAACGGGUGAGUAACGCGUGGGAAACCUGCCCUUUUAUGGGGGAUAACAGUUCUAACGAGCUGCUAAUACCGCAUACGACCCUUGGAUCGCAUGGUUCGAGGGUGAAAGGUGGCCUCUCUUUGAAGCUGCCGUAAAAGGAUGGUCCCGCGUCCCAUUAGCUUGUUGGUGGGGUAAUGGCCUACCAAGGCGACGAUGGGUAGCCGGCCUGAGAGGGUGACCGGCCACACUGGGACUGAGAUACGGCCCAGACUCCUACGGGAGGCAGCAGUCGAGAAGCUUCGGCAAUGGGCGAAAGCCUGACCGAGCGACGCCGCGUGAGCGAAGAAGGCCCUUUGGGUUGUAAAGCUCUGUCAGAUUGGGAAGAAAACAGCAUGGAUAAUACCCAUGAUGCUUGACGGUACCUUCAGAGGAAGCACCGGCUAACUCCGUGCCAGCAGCCGCGGUAAUACGGAGGGUGCAAGCGUUGUUCGGAUUCACUGGGUAUAAAGGGUGCGCAGGCGGCCUGAUAAGUCAGGGGUGAAAUAUGACGGCUUAACCGUCAAACUGCCUCUGAAACUGCCAGGCUUGAGUCCGGGAGAGGUAGGUGGAAUUCCAGGUGUAGCGGUGAAAUGCGUAAAUAUCUGGAGGAACACCGGUGGCGAAGGCGGCCUACUGGCCCGGAACUGACGCUCAGGCACGAAAGCUAGGGGAGCGAACGGGAUUAGAUACCCCGGUAGUCCUAGCCGUAAACGAUGGGCACUAGGUGUUGGAGGAGUCUACCCCUUCAGUGCCGCAGCUAACGCAUUAAGUGCCCCACCUGGGGAGUACGAUCGCAAGGUUGAAACUCAAAGGAAUUGACGGGGGCCCGCACAAGCGGUGGAGCAUGUGGUUUAAUUCGAUGCAACGCGAAGAACCUUACCUGGACUUGACAUGCAGGGGACAGGUGUAGAAAUACAUCCUUCUUCGGACCCUUGUACAGGUGCUGCAUGGCUGUCGUCAGCUCGUGUCGUGAAAUGUUGGGUUAAGUCCCGCAACGAGCGCAACCCCUGUCUUCAGUUGCCAUCAGGUAAUGCUGGGAACUCUGGAGAGACUGCCGGUGACAAACCGGAGGAAGGUGGGGACGACGUCAAGUCAUCAUGGCCCUUACGUCCAGGGCUACACACGUGC